rnacentral:rRNA from 1 species
UGAAGGUCCUCUGGAUUGUAAACUUCUUUAGUAUGGGACGAAACCCUCGGAUCCUCCGGGAUUGACGGUACCAUAGGAAUAAGCACCGGCUAACUCCGUGCCAGCAGCCGCGGUAAUACGGAGGGUGCAAGCGUUAUCCGGAUUCACUGGGUUAAAGGGUGCGUAGGAGGACUGGUAAGUCAGUGGUGAAAUCCCCGAGCUUAACUUGGGAACUGCCGUUGAUACUAUCAGUCUUGAAUACCGUGGAGGUGAGCGGAAUAUGUCAUGUAGCGGUGAAAUGCUUAGAUAUGACAUAGAACACCAAUUGCGAAGGCAGCUCGCUACACGAAUAUUGACUCUGAGGCACGAAAGCGUGGGGAUCAAACAGGAUUAGAUACCCUGGUAGUCCACGCCCUAAACGAUGGAUACUCGACAUACGCGAUACACAGUGUGUGUCUGAGCGAAAGCAUUAAGUAUCCCACCUGGGAAGUACGACCGCAAGGUUG